UACGUAGGGGGCAAGCGUUGUCCGGAAUCAUUGGGCGUAAAGCGCGUGUAGGCGGCCCGGUAAGUCCGCUGUGAAAGUCCAGGGCUCAACCCUGGAAUGCCGGUGGAUACUGUCGGGCUCGAGUCCGGAAGAGGAGAGUGGAAUUCCCGGUGUAGCGGUGAAAUGCGCAGAUAUCGGGAAGAACACCAGUGGCGAAGGCGGCUCUCUGGGACGGUACCGACGCUGAGACGCGAAAGCGUGGGGAGCAAACAGG
rnacentral:rRNA from 1 species